rnacentral:rRNA from 1 species
UACGUAGGGUGCGAGCGUUAAUCGGAAUUACUGGGCGUAAAGCGUGCGCAGGCGGUUUUGUAAGCCAGAUGUGAAAUCCCCGGGCUUAACCUGGGAAUGGCAUUUGGGACUGCAAGGCUUGAGUGCGGCAGAGGAGACUGGAAUUCCUGGUGUAGCAGUGAAAUGCGUAGAUAUCAGGAGGAACACCGGUGGCGAAGGCGGCGACCUGGUCCGACACUGACGCUGAGGCGCGAAAGCGUGGGGAGCAAACAGG